CUUAUUGGGUCUUUAGUUUAAUUAUUUCACUCUUGCAAAGUAUUUUUACUAUAGGAUAGUUAUCCUUUAUGACUUGAUUUAGUAUAUAAUUUACGUAUUGAGUAAUGUUACUCAUACAUAUUCAUGGGGGUUGAAAUUGAACUCUUGUUUUGAUUGGUUCUUAGUUAUUGGCGGUUAAAUUGAGUUUUCCUUUGUGUACCUUGGGUAGAAUUCACCUGGACACUGGUCAGUGAAAGACGUCCAUUAUUUACUCAGACUAUUAUAGCAGAAACCCAUAUUUACAGAUUGUGUAUUUAUUAUAUUCAGCUUGACAGUUUUCUAGACAUGACUAGACUCUGAUGUAGAUUACUUCUUUGUACUUUGUGCCAAGUUCCUUAUUUACUAGAGAACUCACUCCACAAGUGAGUUUUUAUUCUCUGGUAAUAAAACCAUCCGAACCUUAG